rnacentral:misc_RNA from 1 species
GACAGCUUGGCCUAAAAAUUAAAAUUUAUGCAUAGUGGAUCAUAUGAUGCAAUGAAAAAAAAUGCAAUCUUUGUUGUCUAAUAGAAGAAACUGUGAGAUGAAAACUGCCACUGUUUUAGAUCUGUCCAAUGAGAUAGUGAACUUUAACUCACUUGAUCUGCUAAACCAGCACAAGUUUGCUAAAAGUUAUAUGCCUGUGAAACUAAGGAGGACGUUAGAAUAUGGAUGUUUAAACUUUUAACUUCCUCUUUCUGAAAGGUAUUUCUACAUAUGAGAUAUUGAAUUUUUUUCUUAAGUUUACCUAAAUUCUGAUAUUAUUAAAACUGAAGUGAAGAUUUCAAGUCUCGUGAUUUUAGUGAAAUUUGUUGGUUUAUUUAGUUGGUGUCCCUG